rnacentral:rRNA from 1 species
CUACGGGCUGCUGCAGUGAGGAAUAUUGCACAAUGGGGGGAACCCUGAUGCAGCAACGCCGCGUGGAGGAUGACGCAUUUCGGUGUGUAAACUCCUUUUAUAUGUCAAGAAAAUGACGGUAGCAUAUGAAUAAGCACCGGCUAACUCCGUGCCAGCAGCCGCGGUAAUACGGAGGGUGCAAGCGUUACUCGGAAUCACUGGGCGUAAAGGACGCGUAGGCGGGUUGGAAAGUCAGGUGUGAAAUCCUACAGCUUAACUGUAGAACUGCACUUGAAACUUCUAAUCUAGAGUAUGGGAGGGGGAGAUGGAAUUAGUGGUGUAGGGGUAAUAUCCGUAGAUAUUACUAGGAAUACCUAAAGCGAAGGCGAUCUCCUGGAACAUUACUGACGCUAAGGCGUGAAAGCGUGGGGAGCAAACAGGAGUAGAUACCCUGGUAGUC